UACGUAGGGGGCGAGCGUUGUCCGGAAUCAUUGGGCGUAAAGCGCGUGUAGGCGGCCCGGUAAGUCCGCUGUGAAAGUCCAGGGCUCAACCCUGGGAUGCCGGUGGAUACUGUCGGGCUCGAGUCCGGAAGAGGCGAGUGGAAUUCCUGGUGUAGCGGUGAAAUGCGUAGAUAUCUGGAGGAACACCGGUGGCGAAGGCGGCAUCCUGGACCAAUACUGACGCUGAGGAGCGAAAGCCAGGGGAGCAAACGGG
rnacentral:rRNA from 1 species